rnacentral:rRNA from 1 species
UAUUCCAGCUUCCAAUAGCGUAUACUAAAGUUGUUGCAGUUAAAAAGCUCGUAGUUGGAUUUCUGACGGGGACGGCUGGUGGGGCCCGUGAGGGUCUCUACUGACGCCUGGUUCCCGUCAUCCUCGGGGAGAGCGGCCCUGGCAUUAAGUUGUUGGGGUCGGGAUCCUCGUCUUUUACUGUGAAAAAAUUAGAGUGUUCAAAGCAGGCUUAGGCCCUGAAUACAUUAGCAUGGAAUAAUAAGAUAUGACCUUGGUGGUCUAUUUUGUUGGUUUGCACGCCAAGGUAAUGAUUAAUAGGGAUAGUUGGGGGUAUUCGUAUUCAAUUGUCAGAGGUGAAAUUCUUGGAUUUAUGGAAGACGAACUACUGCGAAAGCAUUUACCAAGGAUGUUUUCAUUAAUCAAGAACGAAAGUUAGGGGAUCGAAGAUGAUUAGAUAC